rnacentral:rRNA from 1 species
UACGUAGGGGGCGAGCGUUGUCCGGAUUCAUUGGGCGUAAAGAGCUCGUAGGCGGUUCAGUAAGUCGGGUGUGAAAUCUCCGUGCUCAACACGGAGCGGCCACCUGAUACUGCUGUGACUCGAGUCCGGUAGGGGGGUGUGGAAUUCCCGGUGUAGCGGUGAAAUGCGCAGAUAUCGGGAGGAACACCAGUAGCGAAGGCGGCGCUCUGGGCCGUGACUGACGCUGAGGAGCGAAAGCGUGGGUAGCAAACAGG